rnacentral:rRNA from 1 species
CAGCAGCCGCGGGAAUACGUAGGGUGCAAGCGUUAAUCGGAAUUACUGGGCGUAAAGCGUGCGCAGGCGGUUAUAUAAGUCAGAUGUGAAAUCCCCGGGCUCAACCUGGGAACUGCAUUUGAGACUGUAUGGCUAGAGUGUGUCAGAGGGGGGUAGAAUUCCACGUGUAGCAGUGAAAUGCGUAGAUAUGUGGAGGAAUACCGAUGGCGAAGGCAGCCCCCUGGGAUAACACUGACGCUCAUGCACGAAAGCGUGGGGAGCAAACAGGAUUAGAUACCCCGGUAGUCCCUGUCUCUUAUAC